rnacentral:rRNA from 1 species
UGCAAGUCGAGCGAAUGACGAGAAGCUUGCUUCUCUGAUUUAGCGGCGGACGGGUGAGUAACACGUGGGCAACCUGCCCUACAGAUCGGGAUAACUCAGGGAAACCUGGGCUAAUACCGGAUAAUCCUUCGAAUCACAUGUUUUGAAGUUGAAAGGCGCUUCGGCGUCACUGUAGGAUGGGCCCGCGGUGCAUUAGCUAGUUGGUGGGGUAACGGCCUACCAAGGCAACGAUGCAUAGCCGACCUGAGAGGGUGAUCGGCCACAUUGGGACUGAGACACGGCCCAAACUCCUACGGGAGGCAGCAGUAGGGAAUCUUCCACAAUGGACGAAAGUCUGAUGGAGCAACGCCGCGUGAGUGAUGAAGGUUUUCGGAUCGUAAAACUCUGUUGUAAGGGAAGAACAAGUACGUUAGGAAAUGAACGUACCUUGACGGUACCUUAUUAGAAAGCCACGGCUAACUACGUGCCAGCAGCCGCGGUAAUACGUAGGUGGCAAGCGUUGUCCGGAUUUAUUGGGCGUAAAGCGCGCGCAGGUGGUUUCUUAAGUCUGAUGUGAAAGCCCACGGCUCAACCGUGGAGGGUCAUUGGAAACUGGGGAACUUGAGUGCAGAAGAGGAUAGUGGAAUUCCAAGUGUAGCGGUGAAAUGCGUAGAGAUUUGGAGGAACACCAGUGGCGAAGGCGACUGUCUGGUCUGUAACUGACACUGAGGCGCGAAAGCGUGGGGAGCAAACAGGAUUAGAUACCCUGGUAGUCCACGCCGUAAACGAUGAGUGCUAAGUGUUAGGGGGUUUCCGCCCCUUAGUGCUGCAGCUAACGCAUUAAGCACUCCGCCUGGGGAGUACGACCGCAAGGUUGAAACUCAAAGGAAUUGACGGGGGCCGCACAAGCGGUGGAGCAUGUGGUUUAAUUCGAAGCAACGCGAAGAACCUUACCAGGUCUUGACAUCCCAAUGACCGUUCUAGAAAUAGGAUUUUCCUUCGGGGACAUUGGUGACAGGUGGUGCAUGGUUGUCGUCAGCUC